UACAUGGGGUGCAAACGUUGCUCGGAAUUAUUGGGCGUAAAGCGCACGUAGGCGGUUUGUUAAGUCGGAUGUGAAAUCCCUCGGCUCAACUGAGGAAGUGCAUCCGAAACUGGCAAGCUUGAGUACGAAAGAGGAUCGCGGAAUUCCCGGUGUAGAGGUGAAAUUCGUAGAUAUCGAGCGGAACACCAGUGGCGAAGGCGAAUCUCUGGACAUUACCUGACACUGAGGCACGAAAGCCAGGGGAGCAAACGGG
rnacentral:rRNA from 1 species